rnacentral:tRNA from 1 species
CAGUAGCUAAGUGGAUAGCGUGAUGGCGUUUGAAGCGAAAGGUACUGGGUUCGAAUCCCAGGGUGAA